GAUGAACGCUGGCGGCGUGCUUAACACAUGCAAGUCGAACGAACUGAUAAGAAGCUUGCUUCUUUGAAGUUAGUGGCGGACGGGUGAGUAACGCGUGGGUAACCUGCCCUAUGCAGGGGGAUAACGUUUGGAAACGAACGCUAAUACCGCAUAAGCGCACAGUACCGCAUGGUACCGUGUGAAAAACUCCGGUGGUAUGAGAUGGACCCGCGUCUGAUUAGCUAGUUGGUGAGGUAACGGCCCACCAAACCGACGAUCGGUAGCCGAACUGAGAGGUUGAACGGCCACAUUGGAACUGAGAUACGGUCCAGACUCCCACGGGAGGCAGCAGUGGGGAAUAUUGCACAAUGGGGGGAAAACCCUGAUGCAGCAAUGCCGCGUGAGUGAAGAAGUAUUUCGGUAUGU
rnacentral:rRNA from 1 species